GGUUCGAUCCUGGCUCAGAUUGAACGCUGGCGGGAUGCUUUACACAUGCAAGUCGAACGGCAGCACGGACUUCGGUCUGUGGCGAGUGGCGAACGGGUGAGUAAUGUAUCGGAACGUGCCUAGUAGCGGGGGAUAACUACGCGAAAGGUAGCUAAUACCGCACACGGCCCUUCGGGGGAAAGCGGGGGGACCUUCGGGCCUCGCACUAUUAGAGCGGCCGAUAUCGGAUUAGCUAGUUGGUGGGGUAACGGCUCACCAAGGCGACGAUCCGUAGCUGGUUUGAGAGGACGGCCAGCCACACUGGGACUGAGACACGGCCCAGACUCCUACGGGAGGCAGCAGUGGGGAAUUUUGGACAAUGGGGAAACCCUGAUCCAGCCAUCCCGCGUGUGUGAUGAAGGCCUUCGGGUUGUAAAGCACUUCUUUGGCAGGAAAGAAACGGCACGGGAUAAUACCCUCGUGCAACUGACGGUACCUGCAGAAUAAGCACCGGCUAACUACGUGCCAGCAGCCGCGGUAAUACGUAGGGUGCAAGCGUUAAUCGGAAUUACUGGGCGUAAGCGUGCGCAGGCGGUUCGGAAAAAGAAAGAUGAAAUCCCAGAGCUUAACUUUGGAACUACAUUUUUAACUACCGAGCUAGAGUGUCAGAGGGAGGUGGAAUUCCGCGUAGCAGUGAAAUGCGUAGAUAUGCGGAGGAACACCGAUGGCGAAAGCAGCCUCCUGGGAUAACACUGACGCUCAUGCACGAAAGCGUGGGGAGCAAACAGGAUUAGAUACUCCCGGUAGUCCACGCCCUAAACGAUGUCAACUAGCUGUUGGGGCCUUCGCCUGGUAGCGCAGCUAAUGCGUGAAGUUGACCGCCUGGGGAGUACGGUCGCAAGAUUAAAACUCAAAGGAAUUGACGGGGACCCGCACAAGCGGAUGAUGUGGAUUAAUUCGAUGCAACGCGAAAAACCUUACCUACCCUUGACAUGUUCGGAAUCCUGAAGAGAUUUGGGAGUGCUCGCAAGAGAACCGGAACACAGGUGCUGCAUGGCUGUCGUCAGCUCGUGUCGUGGAGAUGUUGGGUUGGGUCCCGCAACGAGCGCAACCCUUGUCAUUAGUUGCUACGAAAGGGCACUCUAAUGAGACUGCCGGUGACAAACCGGAGGAAGGUGGGAUGACGUCAAGUCCUCAUGGCCCUUAUGGGUAGGGCUUCACACGUCAUACAAUGGUCGGGACAGGUCGCCAACCCGCGAGGGGAGCCAAUCCCAGAAACCCGAUCGUAGUCCGGAUCGCAGUCUGCAACUCGACUGCGUGAAGUCGGAAUCGCUAGUAAUCGCGGAUCAGCAUGUCGCGGUGAAUACGUUCCCGGCCUUGUACACACCGCCCGUCACACCAUGGAGUGGGUUUUACCAGAAGAAGAGUCAACUGCAAGGGGAGGGCGAUUACCACGGUAGGAUUCAUGACUGGGGUGAAGUCGUAACAAGGUAG
rnacentral:rRNA from 1 species